rnacentral:rRNA from 1 species
ACGCUGGCGGCGUGCUUAACACAUGCAAGUCGAACGGAACUUUUUGGAUAGAGGCUUCGGCCAAUUGAAUUAAAGUUUAGUGGCGGACGGGUGAGUAACGCGUGAGCAAUCUGCCUUUCAGAGGGGGAUAACGUUCUGAAAAGAACGCUAAUACCGCAUAAUGUAUUUUGAUGGCAUCAUCGAGAUACCAAAGGAGCAAUCCGCUGAGAGAUGAGCUCGCGUCUGAUUAGAUAGUUGGUGGGGUAAACGGCCUACCAAGUCGACGAUCAGUAGCCGGACUGAGAGGUUGAACGGCCACAUUGGGACUGAGACACGGCCCAGACUCCUACGGGAGGCAGCAGUGGGGAAUAUUGCGCAAUGGGGGAAACCCUGACGCAGCAACGCCGCGUGCAGGAAGAAGGUCUUCGGAUUGUAAACUGUUGUCGCAAGGGAAGAAGACAGUGACGGUACCUUGUGAGAAAGUCACGGCUAACUACGUG